AUAUUUACCAAGUAGGAGAGAUACCAUGGUCACGAAGGUGGUUUACCCAUGGUAAGGAUUAUGCAUUGCAUUCAGGACAUGCUGACACAUUGCGAUGUCUCCAAAUGCUGGGAAACUUAACUGCAUAAUUUGUGGUAAUAGGGAAAUGGAGUUCUCGCUCUCUC